CCUACGGGUGGCAGCAGUGAGGAAUAUUGGUCAAUGGACGAGAGUCUGAACCAGCCAAGUAGCGUGAAGGCUGACUGCCCUAUGGGUUGUAAACUUCUUUUAUAUGGGAAUAAAAUGUUCCACGUGUGGGAUUUUGUAUGUACCAUAUGAAUAAGGAUCGGCUAACUCCGUGCCAGCAGCCGCGGUAAUACGGAGGAUCCGAGCGUUAUCCGGAUUUAUUGGGUUUAAAGGGAGCGUAGGUGGAUUGUUAAGUCAGUUGUGAAAGUUUGCGGCUCAACCGUAAAAUUGCAGUUGAAACUGGCAGUCUUGAGUACAGUAGAGGUGGGCGGAAUUCGUGGUGUAGCGGUGAAAUGCUUAGAUAUCACGAAGAACUCCGAUUGCGAAGGCAGUUCACUGGACUGCAACUGACACUGAGGCUCGAAAGUGUGGGUAUCAAACAGGAUUAGAUACCCUUGUAGUC
rnacentral:rRNA from 1 species